rnacentral:lncRNA from 1 species
CCCCCGCCCCGGCCUCCCCACCCGCGCUGCGGUCCGGCGGCCAGCGCCUCCGAACUUCCGAAAGCCGCCCCCGAGCCCGCAGGCGACGCCCGGGGCACCACAGCCGGCCCUGCACGCGGGCAGGACCCGCAGUCCGGGGAGCUCAGCAGGGCCGCCUCGAACUUUUCCCGAAGAAAAUGGGCACCGCUCCGCAGGGCUGGGCCGCGCAGGCUCGCGCUUAAUAUUCAAUGAUCUCGCUCGCACCUCCCCUCCGCUGCUCGCAAAUUCCACCGGGUCCGUUACUGGGCUCGGACUUCGAAGUUAACGCACGCCCGCCCGGCCGCAAACCGGGGCCUGAGGCCGCCCCCGCCCGCGGCGCCCCGCGCUGACCCCGCCGGCCGGAGGGGGCCGGGCUCACUUUGCAACUUUGUGCGGCGCCGGCCGCAGUGCCAGCUCGGUGGUAUCGUAUGCAAAUACGCAUGCUGACGUUACAGAUCAUGUGGGUUUUGGCGUAGAUUCCCCACUGAUCGGCAUUUUCCCCUCUUUUUCUUUCUUUUUUCUCUUUUUGCUUUUUCUUUUUAAAUUUUGGCCGCCGUCCUCGGAGCGGGCCUCUCUGCCCGAGCCCGGCACGCUGGCUGUCCCUCCGUUUCCCACGGAGCCCCGCGGGCGCCGGCCGGGGAGCGGGCCGAGGGUGGGGGAGCCAGCAGAGUUCCAUUUUGGAAGCCCGCGCUCGUCUCCGCGCGCCCAGCCCGGGUCCCCGCGUCCGCGCGCCCCCAGCCCCGGCGCCGCAGGUCCCGAAGCCCUGGCUGCUCCCAGAGUGCAUCUGUCAGAAGAUUCCCAGGAUGUGAGCCACACAAGUGUGACGAGCAGAAGAGCAGCCACACCACAAAGGGCGUAGAGGGUCCACAAAGAUGUUUCUGCACAAAGCCAUCAGUUUCCCCUGAUCCCUGUGUGCCAUUUGUCGCCAGAAAAUGCGAGUGUUCUGGGACCACGAGCCACGCGGUGCCAGGCCUGGGUUCCAUGCAGCGGUCGAGGGCUGUCACUUCUCUAAAUGCUGACUGUCACGAUGGCUCCAUGAGGAUGGAGUA